rnacentral:pre_miRNA from 1 species
AGUAGAAUUGCUGGGUAAUAUGGUAAUUCUAUGUUUAACUUUGUGAGAAGUUGUAAAUCUCUUUUCCAAAGUGGCUGCACCAUUUUAUAUUAUUACAGCAGU